rnacentral:lncRNA from 1 species
CCCAUGACCUGAGCUGGUGACAUUCAACAGACAGGACCAUGGUUACAUGCUGAAGUGUCCUUGCCCUGUGGAAUGCACUUUGUCUUCUCACUGAGUCAAUCCCGAACUCUCUGCUCCCUAGGGACACCUCACAACCCCAGUGUCCCAGCCUCUGCACGCAUGGGCGCUGCACCUGAGUCUCAAGGAAAGCAAAGCCGUCUGGGGUAUCCCAGGUGUCCCAUCAAGACACACUCCCCAGGAGAGACAAGGUCCAUCUUUUUUAAGGAGAUCCAGUGUCCUGAGAACCUGGGACGAACACCUCCUGGAGUUCCUCCCAUGGGACCAAGCAGGGGCUGCAGUUCUGAGGUCAAGGAUGCCAAGAGGGCUCUGGGGACAGCACUAUUCACAAUGUCCCCAAGGUGGAAGUAGUCCAAGUAUGCACGGACAGGUGAGUUGAUGAACUGGUGGUCCUGCUUAGUCCUACCACACAUGGAAUCAUGUUCAGUCUUAGAAAGAAAGGAAAUUCUGACCCAACCCAUGCUGCAGCACGGAUGGAUCCUGAGGACAUCAGGCUAAAUGAAAUAGGGUGAUCACAAAAGGACAGGUACUGUAUGAUUCCACCUAUAAGAGGUCCCCAGAGGAGUCAAAUUCACAGAGGCAUAAGUUAGAAUGGCAGGUACCAGGGCUGGGGGAGGGGAAGAGGGAGUCAGUG